rnacentral:lncRNA from 1 species
UUUUUUCCAACAACUUAACAAUCUUCAUUGUUUAGGUAAUACAAACACCACAAAGUAACACAAACUGAUGGACACAACUGACACCACUUGCUGCAAGAGCUUACACAGGCAACUGCUAUUUUUUAAAACGAAAGCACUCGAGGAUUACUGGAAACAUAAACACAGUACAAUCUUGCAGACAGGUACAAGACUUGACCUCCAACAAGUACAUGGAACCAUGUAGUAACAGACGACGUGAUUAUAUAAGGUUCAUUGAUUAGCAAUGACGGUAGUAACAGUAGCAACCAUAAUGCUUACUAUGGCGAUUUUUUAGACAAGCACCGUGGUAAGCUCCCUCAUGGUGAAUACAGUAACUGCUGCAUUUAUGAGGAGCACACAACCCACGCCAUCCUUUGCUAAGUUUUGUGCAAGGUUUUGCUUCCCCCGUUUGCAUCUCUGCACAAAAGUUGGAUCGGGAAAG